UCCUCGAUGGUCUAGUGGUCAUGAUUUCCGCUUGUCAUUCCAAGAAAAACUUGUCAAGCGCGGGAGACCAGGGUUCGAUUCCCUGUCGGGGAG
rnacentral:tRNA from 3 species